UGCCAGCCGCCGCGGUAAUACGAGGGCCCCAAGCGUUAUCCGGAAUCACUGGGCGUAAAGGGUGCGUAGGCGGCUUGAUUAGUCGCGUGUGAAAGACCCCGGCUCAACCGGGGGAACGCAUGCGAAACGGUCAAGCUAGAGGAUGAGAGAGGCAUAGGGAACUCAUGGUGUAGGGGUGAAAUCCGUUGAUAUCAUGGGGAACACCAAAAGCGAAGGCACUAUGCUGGCUCAUUCCUGACGCUGAGGCACGAAACCCUGGGUAGCGAAAGGGAUUAGAUA
rnacentral:rRNA from 1 species